AGAGUUUGAUCCUGGCUCAGGAUGAACGCUGGCGGCGUGCCUAACACAUGCAAGUCGAACGGAAUUUACAUGAAGCCUAGCGAUUGUAAAUUUAGUGGCGGACGGGUGAGUAACGCGUGGGUAACCUGCCUUGUACUGGGGGACAACAGUUGGAAACGACUGCUAAUACCGCAUAAGCGCACAGCUUCGCAUGAAGCAGUGUGAAAAACUCCGGUGGUACAAGAUGGACCCGCGUCUGAUUAGCUGGUUGGUGAGGUAACGGCCCACCAAGGCGACGAUCAGUAGCCGGCCUGAGAGGGUGAACGGCCACAUUGGGACUGAGACACGGCCCAAACUCCUACGGGAGGCAGCAGUGGGGAAUAUUGCACAAUGGGGGAAACCCUGAUGCAGCAACGCCGCGUGAGUGAAGAAGUAUUUCGGUAUGUAAAGCUCUAUCAGCAGGAAAGAAAAUGACGGUACCUGACUAAGAAGCCCCGGCUAACUACGUGCCAGCAGCCGCGGUAAUACGUAGGGGGCAAGCGUUAUCCGGAUUUACUGGGUGUAAAGGGAGCGUAGACGGUUUUGCAAGUCUGAAGUGAAAGCCCGGGGCUUAACCCCGGGACUGCUUUGGAAACUGUAGGACUAGAGUGCAGGAGAGGUAAGUGGAAUUCCUAGUGUAGCGGUGAAAUGCGUAGAUAUUAGGAGGAACACCAGUGGCGAAGGCGGCUUACUGGACUGUAACUGACGUUGAGGCUCGAAAGCGUGGGGAGCAAACAGGAUUAGAUACCCUGGUAGUCCACGCCGUAAACGAUGAUUACUAGGU
rnacentral:rRNA from 1 species